rnacentral:rRNA from 1 species
UACGUAGGCAGCGAGCGUUGUUCGGAGUUACUGGGCGUAAAGCGUGCGUAGGCGGUGUCUUAAGUUUGUUGUGAAAUCUCCCGGCUUAACCGGGAGGGUGCGGCGAAUACUGAGAUGCUGGAGUGCCGGAGAGGUAAGCGGAAUUCCUGGUGUAGCGGUGAAAUGCGUAGAUAUCAGGAGGAACACCUGCGGUGUAGACGGCUUACUGGACGGUAACUGACGCUGAGGCACGAAAGCCAGGGGAGCGAACGGG